GGUCACUGCCCGGGUCUCAGAGCUUCUGUUGAGUGAAGGGUCCCGGAUCGGCGUCUCUUGUGCGGUGCCAGCUGGUGGUGGCCUGGGCGGCCGCACAGGACGGACCUGCUAAGUGCCCCAGACAAAGGGUCUGCGCAGAAGGAACAAGCGGCCCGCCCGCCCGGGGUUGACCUUGCAGCCCCAGCCGGGUGAGAGGCCGGGCCAGAGAGCACUGGGUCCGCACACUUGGCCCCUGCGGCUCUCAGCGGCCGCUCCUGCAGAGAGAGGGCGGUGGGCAGGCCGGGCCGUGUGCCGCCCACCGUGCAAGUUCUCGCUCCCUGAGGCAGAUGUGCAGCUGGUAAAACAGAAAAGCCAGGCUCCAGGAAGGCCGGGUGAAGUCCGCAGGAUGAGCAGGUUCGAUCGCUACACUGUGAAGUGUUACAUGAUGUGUGGCAGCCACAGCUGACUGAUGGCUUCCCACACAGAUAAAAGGGACACGGUUAAAGAGUAACACUGAUGUAGAAAAAUAAAUGCCCUUAGCUUCGUUGGCCUAGUCAUAGUGUUACUGAUUCUGUAGGCUAAGCGUGUACUGUUUAAGCUUUCGUGUCUGGUUUAUUUCAUUUGACCUUAGGGUCUCAAGGUGCAUCCAUUUUCCUACAAAUGACUCAAGUUUAUCCUUUUUAUGGCAGAGUAGUGCUCCACUGUGUGUAAACACCACAUCUUUAUCCAUUCAUCUGUUGAUGGAUAUGUAGGGUGCUUCCAAGCGUUAGCUAUUAAAUGAGUUGUGCAGCUAUAAACAUGGUCCAUGUGCAUGGAUCACCAUAAAACGAGGUCUUCAACUCUUCCGGGAAGAUUCCUAGAAGGAGACUAGCCGGAUCAGACGGGGUUUCUAGUUUUACUUUGUUGUUGUUUUUUAGUGGUGGCAAAGUUUUACAUUUGUUAAAAGUUGUGGAGAGCGGUGUUAGCCAAAGAGGCUCCAUUUUGAAUCUUACCCUCCAUUGUAUAGAGCAAGGAGACUAUGUCAUGAGGAACCGCGUCCUUGCCGAAGUAGAUUGCCCUGGAACGUGAUGAACGUUCUGUAAGCCCGAGAAACAAGGAAGCCCAUGAGGGUGGGGAAUUCCCAAAGGACUAGAAAACAAGGAAGCAGGUGUCUCUGGAUGAGGGUCAUGAUGAACAACCAAACUCACCUGCUGUAUAAAAGAGAGGCGAAAAAUAAACUUGAGUGCUCGGUCUCUGGGAGCCCUCCCGACUCUAUCUCUUUGUCUUUAUUUUUCUUCAUCCUCACUCCCCCAUUCAGGUGCUGUUCGACAAGUGAUGGCGGGCUCCGUCAGAAAACACCGUGGAGGCCUCACGGGGCCCUGUGUGCACUGUGGGCCUCCCUCCCCUGCUGUAACUUGGGAGCGGAACAGAGAGCCCUGGGAGCCUGAGCUCUGACAGCCUUCUCCUGGGAGCCUGACCUCGGGUCACACUGACAGUCACUCAGCCCAGGCGGGACACGCUCCCCUCGGGUUGGCAGAAGCCACUGCUCCUCCUGGCAAGGUCACUGGGCUUCCCACAUCACCGGAGUCCAGGUCAGUGCCCACCUGCCCUUUCCUUUGGGCAGGAGCAGAGUCCAAGAAAACUGGCCACUGUUGGAAAGUCACUAUUUUUUUCGGAUUUUUAAAACAGCAAUACAUAGGUUUUGUAGAAUUCAAAAUACAGGACACUGGAAAGUGUAAAUAAUUUUCACUUCUUCAUUCUCACCAUGCAGGUAAUUUAUAUAACGUUAUGUAUAAAUAGCCUUCCAGUUGUUUAUGUAUAUAGAUAUUUUUAAUCAUCAUAAAUAUUCCUACUAACAAUAUUCUUCUAUUUGUCCCUAGGUGACUAAAAAAAUCAGUAACAUGUUUCAUGUAGUUCUCCAUCAUUUUUCUUUUUUGGUACCGGGGAUUGAACUCGGGUCCUUGCACUUGCGAGGCAGGCAGCAGAACCACUGAGCUAAAUCCCCAGCCCUCCCCGUCAUUUUUCUUUCAGUACUGAGGACUGAACUCAGGGCCCUCACACUGAGUCACACCCCACCCCCCAGCCCUUUUUUUUGUUUUUUAUUUUCCCAAGUUGCUAAUUGGCCCAGGCUGGGCUUGAACUUGCAACCCUCCUGCCUUAGCCUCCCCAAAUUCUGGGAUUGUAGGCAGACACCACCACACCUGGCCAUCAGUCAUGUUUGACUGCUGUAUUGUAGUCUGGGGGUGGGGCUUGAAAGGCCCACAUAGAAGACACCUGAGGCUUUGUGGCUACACGGUCUGUCACAGCCCCCUCCAGGAACCUCCUCCCCACAGGGCGGGCUCAAGCUGCAGGUGUCACCUUUGGAGCCAGAGUUGGAGAAAGUCUAUUCUGUUGCUGCUUGGCCUUUCCCAGGGUCAAGGGUAAGCCACCCUUGCCAUUGUCCAGGAAUAUUCCUCGUGUGUCGAGCAGGCUUUUCCCCCGGCUUUUCUAUGAGGACCAACGCUGUGGAGAUUCACCUUCGACUCCUCCAGCGAGCCUGUUCCCCAUGCCAUGGACUCCAUGUCUGGAAGUGAACCCUCCCCAGCCCGGUCACCUCCGCCCAGCCCUCCUGUGCUGAGAAUCGGGCUCUUGUCUGGACUGCAGAUAGGGGAGUCCUAAGACGUUUGUCCUUUCGUCCUGGCUCGUUCUGCUCAGCAGUGUCUGCAGGUCCAUCCACAUGUGUGUGUGUGUGUGUGUGUGUGUGUGUGUGUGUGUGUGAGAAAUACACUUCAUUUGACUUUCCGUCCAUCCGCUGAUGAGCACUAAGGUGGUUUCUCACAGCUUCGUGAGAACAAUGGAAUCUGAGGAGCUGACUCUGGGUUUCGCCUCACCGGGGACAUGGGGAGUGCAUUGCUGAGCCAGGUGACAGUCGUGUGUGACUCUCCAAGGAAGCUCCAAACUUUCGCACAGCAUCUGGGCCAGGAGGAAGCGGCCCCAGUGCCCGAGGCUCCUGCUCCUGUCUUCCAGAAUGACCCGUGGCCAGCUGUCCGAGGAGGACAAGGUAAUGCUUCUGCCAAAACGACCAUCCGUGGACUCACAGAAUGCUUCAUCCACCAUCAUGGAAUUCCUCACAACUUUGCCUCUGACCAAGGAGCACAUUUUACAGCAAAGAGGUGAGGCAAUGGGCUCCUGCUCAUGGAAUUCACUGGUCUUACCAUGUUCCUCAGCAUCCAGAAGUGCCUGGAUUGAUAGAAAGGUAGAAUUGGUCUUUUGAAGAUGCAGUUACAGCUCCAGCUAGGUGGCAGUAGCUUGCAGGGCUGGGGGAGGGUUCUUCCAAAGACUGUGUAUGCUUUGAAUCGGCAUUCACUGCAUGGUACUGGGUCUCCCAUACCCAGGAUUCCCAUUCCAGGAAUCAAGGGGUGGAAGUGGGAAUGGUACCACUCACUGUCAGCCCAGCGAUCCACUAGCAAAAGUUUUGCUUCCUGGGCCGGGGAUUUAGCUCAGUGGUUUCGACGCCUGCACUGCAAGUGCAAGGACCUGAGUUUGAUCCCUGGUACCAAAAAAAAAAGUUUUGCUUCCUGUUCCCAUGACCUUAUGUUCUGCUGGCUUAGAAGCCUUAGUUCGGUGGGGAAGGCUUGUACCUGGAAGCACAACAAUGAUUCCAUUGAACUGGAAGCUAAGGCUCCCCUGGUCAUUUGGUCUCCUCAGGCCUCUGAGGAAAGAAGCUAAAAGGGAAUGAGAGUAUUGGCAGGCGUGACUGUCCCAGACAGACAUCAAGGGGAAACUGGACAGUUACUGCCCAACGGGGGAGACAAGAAUACACUUGGAGUGCAGGAGAUCCCUUAGGACGCCUCCUAGUGGUACCAACCCAUGUUAUUAAAGUCAGUGGGAGGGCCGGGAUUUAGCUCAGUGGCACUGUGCCUGCCUCCCAAGUGCAAGGUCCUGAGUUCAAUCCCCGCUAUGAAAAAUGAAAGGAAAGGAGAAAGGGGAAAGUCAAAAGGAAUCUACAACAACCCAAUCCAGGAAGGAGGACAAAUGGGCCAGACCCUUCAGGAAUGAAGGUGUAGGUCACCCCACCAGGAAAAGUCAAGACCUGCCGAGCUGCUGAAGGGCAGGGAGUACAGGAUGGGGAGUAGAAGGUACUUUUAAAUACCAGCUACAACCCUGUGAUCAGCUACAGAAACAAGGCCUGUAACUGUGCAAGUUCUCUCCUAUGAUUUCAAUGCAAUAUAAGGCUGAGACUUAAUACCUGCACUUGCGUGUUGUUAAAUCUGUGUCAUAGUACUUAAGUUAUGAAAUGUUAGGGAUAAGCAUCACCCAAAGAAAGCUUGCCUUCUCUUCUGGGGAGGGAAUUAGGGCACUUGCAUUUGUAUGGAGGGCAGUAACAUGGUAGGCAGAGUCGUGCCUCGUCUUUAUACCUACAGACUGCGGUGUAAAGGAACGCCUCUGGGUGUUGAGGUGACCAGGCGUGGACAGUGAGUGGGUGUCAGCUUGAGUAGUAACACCCAGCUGGACUGGCUCAGCGUGGCUCUGCUGUGAAGACCCAGCUAGGGAGGACUGUGGCUGUAAUGCUACCCCAGGACAUGAAGGAGGGAGGGAGGGAGGCUUGUGUGUCCUCCAGGCUUCGCUUUCCCCUUGGAGGCCAUCUCCCAGCUUCCAGCGGACCUUCCGGCUCCUGAUUUGGACUGCAUGGGACACCACAUGGAGUUCCUGGGCUGUGGCUGGGUCCUUGGGACCCCGGGGUACAGACGGACCUUUCGCACUCAUCCCCACCCGACAGAAGCCAAGCCGCAAGUCUUAUCUAUUUGCAUAUUUUGUAUCACAUCUGCUUCUCUAGUAGGCACUGACACAUGUGUCAUGCGCAGGGACUGAGUGGUUCUUUCCCUUCUUCCCGGCUUUGUUUUAAGGCCCUAUGCUACAUCAGAUGUUGAACUAUCCCUGCAUUCCAGGAAAGCCCACCACAGUGUCACAAUGUAAACUCCUUUCAAUAAACAAUGAGUUCACGA